UGGCCUCUCUCGACUACUCACAGAAUCGUUUAUCGAUGAUCCAUUGGAUUUCCAGAAUAUCGAGAGAAUAUUCGUAUGUUGCGGCCCCUUGGGCCCUGUCUCGUACCUCAACGCUACUUUACCAGAUUCGUGCUGCUUUCGACCAGUCUGCACUAUACUCAAUGCUUACAAAGGAUGCAAUAAAGUCAUAGAGAACUUUUUCUACGCCAUUGGCUUAGCGACGAUUAUCAUCGCCGCUAUCGUAGCUGCCUUUGAGUUCUUAGCGGCCGUUAUAAGCUGUUGUGUCGCCAACUAUAUCCGCAUCAAAGGCAGACAAAGACUUUAUUAGAUUCAGCUUGUGAACAUCGGUAUCUAUCUCAUAGAACGUUGGACGAAUAAACUAGAGCAGUAAGCUCAUCUGUCAGCAUUUCAUACACAUACCCUGGAUCAAUAAGGGCGCUAAUAAAAUUAUAAAAUGUGUUGCACAAGGUGGGAUCAGUGUUUCUCCU